rnacentral:rRNA from 1 species
GAUGAACGCUGGCGGCGUGCCUAAUACAUGCAAGUCGAGCGAAGCGGGGACGGGUGAGUAACACGUCGAUAACCUCCUAUAAGACUGGGAUAACUUCGGGAAACCGUAGCUAAACCGGAUACUGAUACAUGGUUCCACGCUGCAUUUGCUAGUUGGUAAGGUAACGGCUUACCAAGGCAACGAUGCAUAGCCGACCUGAGAGGGUGAUCAGCCACACUGGAACUGAGACACGGUCCAGACUCCUACGGGAGGCAGCAGUGGGGAAUCUUCCGCAAUGGGCGAAAGCCUGACGGAGCAACGCCGCGUGAGUGAUGAAGGUCUUCGGAUCGUAAAGCUCUUUUAGUAGGGAAGCGGUACCUAAUCAGAAAGCCACGGCUAACUACGUGCCAGCAGCCGCGGUAAUAC